rnacentral:rRNA from 1 species
AGUGAACGCUGGCGGUAGGCCUAACACAUGCAAGUCGAACGGCAGCACAGGAGAGCUUGCUCUCUGGGUGGCGAGUGGCGGACGGGUGAGGAAUACAUCGGAAUCUACUUUUUCGUGGGGGAUAACGUAGGGAAACUUACGCUAAUACCGCAUACGACCUACGGGUGAAAGAAGGGGAUCUUCGGACCUUGCGCGAUUGAAUGAGCCGAUGUCGGAUUAGCUAGUUGGCGGGGUAAAGGCCCACUAAGGCGACGAUCCGUAGCUGGUCUGAGAGGAUGAUCAGCCACACUGGAACUGAGACACGGUCCAGACUCCUACGGGAGGCAGCAGUGGGGAAUAUUGGACAAUGGGCGCAAGCCUGAUCCAGCCAUACCGCGUGGGUGAAGAAGGCCUUCGGGUUGUAAAGCCCUUUUGUUGGGAAAGAAAUCCAGCCGGCUAAUACCUGGUUGGGAUGACGGUACCCAAAGAAUAAGCACCGGCUAACUUCGUGCCAGCCGCCGCCGUAACAC